UUUUGUAGAUGUUGAAAUCCAGAGACAUGGGAGAUCAUCAUUCUUUUAAGAUUUUAUAACUCAAACUAACUGGAGUUAAGGGGACAGAAGUCUGCUUGUGUGAGGAGGUGGUUUUCUCAGCUUCUUUGGAAGAGAGGGAAAGAUGUUAAAAGCCAGAGACAUGGGAGAUCAUCAUUCUUUUCAGAUUUUAUAACUCAAACCAACUUUGGAGUUGUCUGAUUUGGAGGGUCAUCAUUCUUGGUCUUCCUUCUUAAAGACCACUGAUGAAGAGCAGGCAGUGACUGGGAUGAAUGCUGGUCAGAGUGGAGAAUCUUCUUUCCCCUAAACUGACGCAGCAGUGGAUUUAAAGGAGGACGCUGCCCUGGAUGAUGUAGAUGUCGUCACAUGCUGAUGGGGCUUCUUCAUGACUACGUACAUCAAUUAUGCUAAAGAGGUCAUGAAAGUUGACAGUGAUGCAUGAUCUGUAUCCAUGGACUAUGAAACAAACUGUAAGUGUAUAAUUUGUAAAAACAAUGUUAAAUGCUUGUUCUGUGUUGUUUAGUAGAAGAGUUUACUCUGUCAUUCAUACACAUGCUCACAUUCUUUCACACACACG